rnacentral:tRNA from 1 species
GGAAAUAUAGCUCAGUUGGUAGAGUGCUUGCCUCCCAUGCACAAGGUCCUGGGUUCAAUCCCCAGCCC